UACAGAGGGUGCAAACGUUUCUCGGAAUUAUUGGGCGUAAAGCGCACGUAGGCGGUCUUGUAAGUCAGGAGUGAAAGCCCUCGGCUUAACCGGGGAAGUGCUUUUGAAACUGCAAGACUUGAAUACUGGAGAGGAUCGCGGAAUUCCCGGUGUAGAGGUGAAAUUCGUAGAUAUCGGGAGGAACACCAGUGGCGAAGGCGGCGAUCUGGACAGAUAUUGACGCUGAGGUGCGAAAGCGUGGGGAGCAAACAGG
rnacentral:rRNA from 1 species